CGCACACGCCCCCCCUCUCUCUCUCUCCCCAGCUCCCCCUUCUUCCUCUCACCUUCUCUCUGUCACGCCGGAAAGCUCGACUUCCGGCCGUCGACUUUUGGCACCGCCACCACCAAAAGAUAGCCUAGGCGAUGGAGAACAAAACCCAGCCACUCCACCCUCGAUUGAGAUCGCCGAACCACCGCACACGACCCCUAAAGCUACGCCGUCACUGUUCCUUAACCCUCUUCGAUCUCCUACCAUCUUUUCAACAUAUCGCCACCACCAACUUGCUCAAACUGAUCCAAGCUUCAAAACCCAGGACUUUGCUAGACCACAGAGGCCGGAAUACCAUCAGACGACCCCAUCGCUGGUGCUCUCAGCUCUGAGCUUUUCGUUCUUCAAUCUCUGGUAAAAAUCGAGCCACACCAGCACUAAGGAAAAUGUUUAAGCUUUCUUUGUUUUCUGUCCUGUCCAAGCAAAACGUUUUCAUUUUUCUCUGAAACAUUGAGCAAAUGUUUCAUUAAUUCUUCCCAGUAUCAAAUACAACCACAAAUUUGGACUAUUGGUUGUAGAAUCCAUUAAUUUGCCACUCCCAGAGCUUGGAUGUGGACAAAAAAGUCAUCAAGGCCCAGAUUUGGGACACUGCCGGCCAAGAAAAGGCUUAUUUGUCCUUACCGUGUAAACAACAUGUCGAAGACACCUCUGUUUCCAGUGAAGAAAGAAGUAACAGCUCCCUCAUUUAAGUUGAGAAUAUAACAUCUGCAUUUAGAAAUCUGAAGACUGUAGACAAGAAAAUGGAGAUUUUGCUACUUGGAAAAGAAGCAUUGUUUAUGGCAGCUACUAUCAUAUAAGCACAGUCAUCUUGUGCUCAAGUCUACAUGGUGCUUGGAUGAACUUGUGCAGAUUUUGGAAUGCAAGGAAAGACAUGGGCAGAUUGUUAUACCCAUUUUUUACAGAAUAUAUCCUUCACAUGUACGCCGCCAGAGGGAGAGUGAUGCAGCUGUAUUUGUUCAACAUGAAGAACGUUUCAAGGACAAGGUGCUCAAGUGGAGGGAUGCUUUGACAAAAGCAUCCAAACUAGCAGGGUUUGAUUCACUCAAUAUCAGGUAACCUUUUAACUUUCGAGCAGUAAUGCAAAUAUCUCAAUAAUCCGGAUAUGUCUUCAACUAUUAGUUAUUUGUUCUUGGUUAUUAUGCCAGCCUUGAAUCUGAAUUAGUGGAGUUAGUCGUUAAAGAUAUUGGUUUAUAUAAGACUAGCUCUAUUUACUUCAUAUCGCCGUCCUAUUCUAUUAGAUUCAAACCAGGUACUAAGGAUCUUAUAGUGGUAUGCUAGAAGAGAUUUUCCAUGUAGGGUGAAAAAAGUGCUUAUCUAACUUCCCAUCAUUCAUACAUACAAAAAGGAGAGGCAUCAAGGCAUAUGGGAGUGACAGCGAAAGUAAAGGUUGUUGUUGAGGCAGCUUCUGCUGGCAUCUUCAUUGUCAUCACAAAGUGUGUUCUUCAAGACCUGGUUGAUUUCAACAUUUUACUAAAUUUUGUUAGAAAACUAGUUCUGUUUAUGUAAUGACUUUGUUGGAUAUAUAUAUAUGGAUGAAUGUAUCGGAUUUUUACAUAAAUGAAUGUGUUUUGGAUGUG